rnacentral:rRNA from 1 species
UGGAUCCACACUUUGAUUAUGGCUCAGGAUGAACGCUAGCGACAGGCUUAACACAUGCAAGUCGAGGGGCAGCGGGGCUGAAAGCUUGCUUUCAGCUGCCGGCGACCGGCGCACGGGUGAGUAACACGUAUGCAACCUGCCUGUGACAGAUGGAUAACCGGGAGAAAUUCCGCCUAAUACAGCAUAAAGCUUUUUGAAGACAUCUUCUUGAAGCCAAAGGAGGCGACUCCGGUCACAGAUGGGCAUGCGGCGCAUUAGGUAGUUGGUGAGGUAACGGCUCACCAAGCCGACGAUGCGUAGGGGUUCUGAGAGGAAGGUCCCCCACAUUGGAACUGAGACACGGUCCAAACUCCUACGGGAGGCAGCAGUGAGGAAUAUUGGUCAAUGGCCGAAAGGCUGAACCAGCCAAGUCGCGUGAGGGAAUAAGGCCCUACGGGUCGUAAACCUCUUUUGCCGGGGAGUAAGAUUCUCUACGUGUAGGGAAUCGGAGAGUACCCGGAGAAAAAGCAUCGGCUAACUCCGUGCCAGCAGCCGCGGUAAUACGGAGGAUGCGAGCGUUAUCCGGAUUUAUUGGGUUUAAAGGGUGCGUAGGCGGAUUCUCAAGUCAGCGGUCAAAACCCGGGGCUCAACCCCGGCCUGCCGUUGAAACUGGGAAUCUUGAGUGAGCGUGAAGUAAGCGGAAUGCGUGGUGCAGCGGUGAAAUGCAUAGAUAUCACGCAGAACCCCGAUUGCGAAGGCGGCUUACCGGCGCUCAACUGACGCUGAGGCACGAAAGUGCGGGGAUCAAACAGGAUUAGAUACCCUGGUAGUCCGCACAGUAAACGAUGAAUGCUAAUUGUUCGGAGGGAAUGACCUCUGAGUGAUACAGUGAAAACGUUAAGCAUUCCACCUGGGGAGUACGCCGGCAACGGUGCAACUCAAAGGAAUUGACGGA